rnacentral:ribozyme from 1 species
UGCCCAGCAACUCCUAUCCCUACCUUCUCGCGGUACUGGCCGGGGUACGAGCAGUGAAUGAAAUUAUCGCGGAAAUGAGACGAAAAUAGG